rnacentral:rRNA from 1 species
GAACUUAAGCAUAUCAAUAAGCGGAGGAAAAGAAACUAACAAGGAUUCCCCUAGUAACUGCGAGUGAAGCGGGAAAAGCUCAAAUUUAAAAUCUGGCGUGCCUCUGGUCGUCCGAGUUGUAGUUUAGAGAAGCGUUUUCUGUGUUGGACCGUGUAUAAGUCUCUUGGAACAGGGCGUCAUAGAGGGUGAGAAUCCCGUCUUUGACACGGACUACCAAUGCUUUGUGAUACGCUCUCAAAGAGUCGAGUUGUUUGGGAAUGCAGCUCAAAAUGGGUGGUAAAUUCCAUCUAAAGCUAAAUAUAGGCGAGAGACCGAUAGCGAACAAGUACCGUGAGGGAAAGAUGAAAAGCACUUUGGAAAGAGAGUUAAACAGUACGUGAAAUUGCUGAAAGGGAAACGCUUGAAGUCAGUCACGUCUGCCAGGACUCAGCCUUGCUUCUGCUUGGUGUACUUUCUGGUUGGAUGGGCCAACAUCGAUUUCGACCGUUGGAGAAAGGCUUUGGGAAUGUGGCACCUUCGGGUGUGUUAUAGCCCUUUGUUGUAUACAAUGGUUGGGAUCGAGGACUGCAGCAUGCCUUCAUGGCCGGGGUUCGCCCACGUACAUGCUUAGGAUGUUGGCAUAAUGGCUUUAAGCGACCCGUCUUGAAACACGGACCAAGGAGUCUAACAUGCCUGCGAGUGUUUGGGUGGAAAACCCAUGCGCGUAAUGAAAGUGAUAGCUGAGAUCCUCUCAUCAGGAGCAUCAGCGCCUGGACUUGAUCUACGGAGACGGUUCUACGGUAGAGCAUGUAUGUUGGGACCCGAAA